rnacentral:rRNA from 1 species
AGAUUGAACGCUGGCGGCAUGCCUUACACAUGCAAGUCGAACGGCAGCACGGGAGCAAUCCUGGUGGCGAGUGGCGAACGGGUGAGUAAUACAUCGGAACGUGCCCAGUUGUGGGGGAUAGCCCGGCGAAAGCCGGAUUAAUACCGCAUACGACCUACGGGUGAAAGCGGGGAUCGCAAGACCUCGCGCUAUUGGAGCGGCCGAUGUCGGAUUAGCUUGUUGGUGGGGUAAAAGCCCACCAAGGCUACGAUCCGUAGCUGGUCUGAGAGGACGACCAGCCACACUGGGACUGAGACACGGCCCAGACUCCUACGGGAGGCAGCAGU